rnacentral:tRNA from 3 species
UAGAAGGUAGUACAUUGGUAGUAUUGAAAGUUUUGGUCUUUCAGGUUCAAGUUCAAGUCUUGACUUUCUAG